CCUUCUUUAUGCGGUGCUCUGCAUUCCUUGCACUCAGUCCUUCAUUUUUUUGCGAGGCGCAAUGCCGCAGGUUUACAUCGCUCUCACUUUUUUGGCUACGUGCGCCAUCACCGCAGUGGCGGUAGGGGCGCUUCGGUGCAGGAAGGUGAUGAUGAAAGGGAAAUCUGACAUCGCACUCCAAACAGACGAGGCGCUGUCAAUGCCUUUGAAUGGCUCUGUCAUGCUGUUUUCGUUGUACGUUUCCUUGCGCUUUAUUCCGAAGGAAUACUUCAACAUCCUGAUUUCCUUCUAUCUUAGCUUGAUUAGCGUCUUCGCUCUUCACAUGCUCGUGAAAGGGUAUAUCAAGCCCAAUAUUGUCACCGGACUGAUCUGCGUAGGAACCGGGUGCGCCAGCUUUUUUGCUCAGAACUGGAUCGCAAGCAACAUACUGGCCUUUUCUAUCGCCGUCACAGCUCUUGAAAGGCUUCCUGUGAAUGGGUUCACGACCUCUUUCAUUCUGCUGAUUGGCCUCUUCUUCUACGACAUUUUCUGGGUUUUUGGGUCGGACGUCAUGCUGAUGGUGGCGACCGGCAUUGACGGACCAAUAAAACUCGUGUUUCCUCAGACGAUCUUUGGCGACUGCUCCAAGAAAAGCCUCCUUGGACUCGGUGACAUCAUUGUGCCUGGCCUUUUUAUAUGCCAAACGCUGGUGUUCUCGAAGGACUAUGUGAGGAGGGGAAGCCUGUACUUUGCCACGUCGAUGGUCGCGUACACUCUGAGUCUUGUGAACACUAUGGCUGUUAUGCUGAUUUUCCAACAUGGCCAGCCAGCGCUCCUCUUCAUCGUACCAUGGCUUCUCGUCACAUUCUCUGCUGUCGCCGUGUACAACGGGGAUGUCAAGGCGGCAUGGAGCUUUGAUAUACUUAGUGUCUUCACAACCUCUUCAGAGAAGCCAGCGCGGGGUGAGCCGCAUGCAGAACAGGAGGUAUCCCUCUCCGCGUUUGUCUGCGAAGCUGUUUUGGAUCUUUUCGGAUUCGCAAAGGAGGAGGCGCCGGCGGAGAGCGAGACGGCGGAGGAGUCGAAGAAGAAGAAGGAGGCGUAGGAAUGAGGAGACAGAAUGUCGACGCGCGAUGGAUCACCUCCGCACGCGUGGUGCCCAUUCCUCCAUCCGUUUUUUUUUUGCACAUGGGCGCAGCUAACUGAACAAAAGGAGCGAAAUCGUGUCGAUACCAAACUAG
rnacentral:misc_RNA from 1 species